GGGGGUAUAGCUCAGUGGUAAAAGCCUUUGCCUAGCAUUUAUGAAGCCCUAGGUUCUAUCCCCAGCAUCCCCA
rnacentral:tRNA from 1 species